rnacentral:tRNA from 1 species
GGUCCAUUAGCUCAGUUGGUUGGAGCGUCGUGCUAAAGAAUUAACGAAGGACGAGAGUUCGAUUCUCUCAUGGGCCA